rnacentral:rRNA from 1 species
GACGAACGCUGGCGGCGUGCUUAACACAUGCAAGUCGAACGGAAAGGCCCUGCUUUUGUGGCGUGCUCGAGUGGCGAACGGGUGAGUAACACGUGAGUAACCUGCCCUUGACUUUGGGAUAACUUCAGGAAACUGGGGCUAAUACCGGAUAGGAGCUACUGCUCCAUGGUGGGGGUUGGAAAGUUUCGGCGGUUGGGGAUGGACUCGCGGCUUAUCAGCUUGUUGGUGGGGUAGUGGCUUACCAAGGCUUUGACGGGUAGGCGGCCUGAGAGGGUGACCGGCCACAUUGGGACUGAGAGACGGCGCAGACUCCUACGGGAGGCAGCAGUGGGGAAUAUUGCACAAUGGGCGGGAGCCUGAUGCAGCAACGCCGCGUGCGGAAUGACGGCCUUCGGGUUGUAAACCGCUUUCGCCUGUGACGAAGCGUGAGUGACGGUAAUGGGUAAAGAAGCACCGGCUAACUACGUG